UCUAUCUUUGUUGAGUUUUGGUAUUGAUUUUAUGUGUCAGUACCUGAGAAGGAGAGAAGUCCUUGAGUUGUUUCGUAAAUGUGGCUCAAGUGAGAUGCUGAACAGUGCCAGCCAUGUGGACUCUGCCACAGUGAAGGAGGAAGGCAGCACUGAGAAGUGAAGGAAUAUUUGGGAGGAUCAGAAGCUUGGUCCUGAUUUUGCCAUCAACAGGAACUUGAUGACUUCAAGGGAGUCCCCAAACCCUGGGUUUCUGUUUUCUCAACUCUAACAUGAGGGGCUAGAUGCAUCUGGUUUAGUUAGUCUCCAUGAUGGUUUAGUUCGUCUCCAUGAUCCUGUGAAUUUCAGAUGUUGAAAAUCUUCGGAAAAGCCCUGAAAGAUGAACAGUGGUCUCAAAUAGUCAAGACCCCCUGCUGGGAGGAGCUUCUAUCCUGCUCUGUGGAAGAAAUGGGCAUGCCAGAUGCCUG
rnacentral:lncRNA from 1 species